rnacentral:rRNA from 1 species
CUAUAGAACUGCUUUGAAAACUGUUAAUCUAGAAUGUGGGAGAGGUAGAUGGAAUUUCUGGUGUAGGGGUAAAAUCCGUAGAGAUCAGAAGGAAUACCGAUUGCGAAGGCGAUCUACUGGAACAAUAUUGACGCUGAGACGCGAAAGCGUGGGGAGCAAACAGGAUUAGAUACCCUGGUAGUCCACGCCCUAAACGAUGUACACUAGUUGUUGUGAGGCUCGACCUUGCAGUAAUGCAGUUAACACAUUAAGUGUACCGCCUGGGGAGUACGGUCGCAAGAUUAAAACUCAAAGGAAUAGACGGGGACCCGCACAAGCGGUGGAGCAUGUGGUUUAAUUCGACGAUACACGAAGAACCUUACCUGGACUUGACAUAGUAAGAAUGAUUUAGAGAUAGAUUAGUGUCUGCUUGCAGAAACUUGCAUACAGGUGCUGCACGGCUGUCGUCAGCUCGUGUCGUGAGAUGUUGGGUUAAGUCCCGCAACGAGCGCAACCCUCGUCCUUAGUUGCUAACAGUUCGGCUGAGAACUCUAAGGAGACUGCCUACGCAAGUAGGAGGAAGGUGAGGAUGACGUCAAGUCAUCAUGGCCCUUACGUCCAGGGCUACACACGUGCUACAAUGGGGUAUACAAAGAGCAGCAAUACGGUGACGUGGAGCAAAUCUCAAAAAUGCCUCCCAGUUCGGAUUGUAGUCUGCAACUCGACUACAUGAAGUUGGAAUCGCUAGUAAUCGUAGAUCAGCUAUGCUACGGUGAAUACGUUCCCGGGUCUUGUACUCACCGCCCGUCACACCAUGGGAGUUGAACUCAUUCGAAGCGGGGAUGCUAAAGUAGCUACCUUCCACAGUGGAUUCAGCGACUGGGGUGAAGUCGUAACAAGGUAACCGUAGGAGAACCUGCGGCUGGAUC